UAACACGUAAGCAACCUGCCUAUCAGAGGGGAACAACAGUUAGAAAUGACUGCUAAUACCGCAUAUGCCUAAGUAUCACAUGAUACAAUAGGGAAAGGAGCAAUCCGCUGAUAGAUGGGCUUGCGUCUGAUUAGCUAGUUGGUGGGGUAAUGGCCUACCAAGGCAACGAUCAGUAGCCGGACUGAGAGGUUGAACGGCCACAUUGGGACUGAGAUACGGCCCAGACUCCUACGGGAGGCAGCAGUCGGGAAUAUUGCGCAAUGGAGGAAACUCUGACGCAGUGACGCCGCGUGCAGGAAGAAGGUUUUCGGAUUGUAAACUGCUUUAGACAGGGAAGAUAAUGACAGUACCUGUAGAAUAAGCUCCGGCUAACUACGUGCCAGCAGCCGCGGUAAUACGUAGGGAGCAAGCGUUAUCCGGAUUUAUUGGGUGUAAAGGGUGCGUAGACGGGAAUGCAAGUUAGUUGUGAAAUCCCUCGGCUUAACUGAGGAACUGCAACUAAAACUACAUUUCUUGAGUGCUGGAGAGGAAAGUGGAAUUCCUAGUGUAGCGGUGAAAUGCGUAGAUAUUAGGAGGAACACCAGUGGCGAAGGCGACUUUCUGGACAGUAACUGACGUUGAGGCACGAAAGUGUGGGGAGCAAACAGGAUUAGAUACCCUGGUAGUCCACACCGUAAACGAUGGAUACUAGGUGU
rnacentral:rRNA from 1 species